rnacentral:rRNA from 1 species
UACGUAGGGGGCAAGCGUUAUCCGGAAUUACUGGGUGUAAAGGGAGCGUAGGCGGCAUGGUAAGCCAGAUGUGAAAGCCUUGGGCUUAACCCGAGGAUUGCAUUUGGAACUAUCAAGCUAGAGUACAGGAGAGGAAAGCGGAAUUCCUAGUGUAGCGGUGAAAUGCGUAGAUAUUAGGAAGAACACCAGUGGCGAAGGCGGCUUUCUGGACUGAAACUGACGCUGAGGCUCGAAGGCGUGGGGAGCGAACAGG